rnacentral:lncRNA from 1 species
AACCAAACAUCCUCUGGUGGAUCCUGAAUCCCUGUGCCUGUGGAACCCAGGACUGAGUCCUGGGUCCCAGUGGCAACAGAUGC